CGGUGUGUUUAACACAUGCAAGUCGAGCGAGUCUUCGGACUAGCGGCAGACGAGAGAGUAACACGUUGGUACCUGCCCCGUACUCAGGGAUAACUACUCGAAAGAGUAGCUAAUACCGGAUAGCCUCGAAAGAGUAAAGCUUUUGCGGUACGGGAGGGACCUGCGGCCUAUCAGCUAGUUGGUAAGGUAAUAGCUUACCAAGGCGAUGACGGGUAGCUGGAUUGAGAGAUCGAUCAGCCUCGAUGGGACUGAGACGCGGCCCAUACUCC
rnacentral:rRNA from 1 species